rnacentral:lncRNA from 1 species
GCCACUGCCCUACUUCUUCUCUCCCAUCGCUCCGCGCACAGCGCCGCUCUAUGCAGGCCUCAGCGGCCAAGGUGCUGUCAUCUAUAUGAUCUCAGUAUUUUAAAAAUCAGCUUCCAGCCCAUAUGAUGGCUCGUGAUUGUAAUACCAGCAGUUGAAGAGGCUGAAAUGAGAGGAUUCUUGGAGCCCAGGAGUUCAAGAGCAACCUGGGCAACAUAGCAAGACCCAGUCUCUAUCAAAAGUUAAAAAAAAAAAAAAAAAACUUGGGCAUGGUGAUGUGCAACGGUUGUCCUAGCUAUUUGGGAGGCCGAGGUGGAAGGAUUGCUUGAGCUUGGGAGGUUGAGGCUGCAGUGAGCAGUGAUUGCACCACUGCACUCCAGGCUGGGCAACAAAGCAAGAACCUAUCUCAAAAAAUAUAUAUAAUAAAAAUAAAAAUCAGCUCUCAUUGAUUGCUACAUAAAUAUGCACAGGUGAUGUCCAUGCAGACAUAAAUAAUUAUAUAUCUGACAAUGGGUCCAUAUAACCUUCAAAAUGUAAAAUGCCUAUCUGUGUAAUUGACUGGUUAGUCUCCUUAAUGAUUAUAGAUUCAA